UUUUUAUUUUUGUACAUUUU
rnacentral:snRNA from 1 species